GACGAACGCUGGCGGCGUGCUUAACACAUGCAAGUCGAACGGAAAGGCCCUGCUUUUGUGGGGUGCUCGAGUGGCGAACGGGUGAGUAACACGUGAGUAACCUGCCCUUGACUUUGGGAUAACUUCAGGAAACUGGGGCUAAUACCGGAUAGGAGCUCCUGCUGCAUGGUGGGGGUUGGAAAGUUUCGGCGGUUGGGGAUGGACUCGCGGCUUAUCAGCUUGUUGGUGGGGUAGUGGCUUACCAAGGCUUUGACGGGUAGCCGGCCUGAGAGGGUGACCGGCCACAUUGGGACUGAGAUACGGCCCAGACUCCUACGGGAGGCAGCAGUGGGGAAUAUUGCACAAUGGGCGGGAGCCUGAUGCGGCAACGCCGCGUGCGGGAUGACGGCCUUCGGGUUGUAAACCGCUUUCGCCUGUGACGAAGCGUGAGUGACGGUAAUGGGUAAAGAAGCACCGGCUAACUACGU
rnacentral:rRNA from 1 species